CUUUCAACUUAAGAUCAGUGAGCAUAUAUUAAUAGGCCUAGUUUAUUAAUACAUUUCUUACAAUGGAGAGAUGUGUUCUACUGAUUCUUAUAACAUUACCAGGUGUAUUUGCUGACAGCAUUGAACCAAAAGAAAAGGACAAUAUAAUCAGUAAAGAAGGAGAGUCUGUGACAAUGAGUUGCUCAUAUGAUACAAGCAGCAAUGACAUUUUUCUUUACUGGUACAGACAGUAUCCUAACAGAGAACCUCAGUAUUUACUCUAUAAAGGUGCCCGAUCACUGAGCAGUUAUGGAAAUACACCAGACCAACGGUUUCGGUCAACUGCAUCCCAAUCAUCCACUGAAAUCACUAUUGACAGUGUAACUCUGUCAGAUUCAGCUCUCUAUUACUGUGCUCUAAGAGUAGUAGCCCAGUGA